UGGGAGCUUGCUCCCUGAUGUUAGCGGCGGACGGGUGAGUAACACGUGGGUAACCUGCCUGUAAGACUGGGAUAACUCCGGGAAACCGGGGCUAAUACCGGAUGGUUGUCUGAACCGCAUGGUUCAGACAUAAAAGGUGGCUUCGGCUACCACUUACAGAUGGACCCGCGGCGCAUUAGCUAGUUGGUGAGGUAACGGCUCACCAAGGCGACGAUGCGUAGCCGACCUGAGAGGGUGAUCGGCCACACUGGGACUGAGACACGGCCCAGACUCCUACGGGAGGCAGCAGUAGGGAAUCUUCCGCAAUGGACGAAAGUCUGACGGAGCAACGCCGCGUGAGUGAUGAAGGUUUUCGGAUCGUAAAGCUCUGUUGUUAGGGAAGAACAAGUGCCGUUCAAAUAGGGCGGCACCUUGACGGUACCUAACCAGAAAGCCACGGCUAACUACGUGCCAGCAG
rnacentral:rRNA from 1 species